GAGAUAUUAGUAAAAACAUUACAUAACUUUGUCAAAGUUAAAUUAUAAGUGAAAGCCCUAUAUAUCUCU
rnacentral:tRNA from 1 species